CAGUCGAACGCUCGUCUUCGGACGGGAGUGGCAGACGGGUGAGUAACACGUGGGAACGUACCCUUUGGUUCGGAAUAACGCAGGGAAACUUGCGCUAAUACCGGAUACGCCCUUUUGGGGAAAGGUUUACUGCCGAAGGAUCGGCCCGCGUCUGAUUAGCUAGUUGGUGGGGUAACGGCCUACCAAGGCGACGAUCAGUAGCUGGUCUGAGAGGAUGAUCAGCCACACUGGGACUGAGACACGGCCCAGACUCCUACGGGAGGCAGCAGUGGGGAAUAUUGGACAAUGGGCGCAAGCCUGAUCCAGCCAUGCCGCGUGAGUGAUGAAGGCCUUAGGGUUGUAAAGCUCUUUUGUCCGGGACGAUAAUGACGGUACCGGAAGAAUAAGCCCCGGCUAACUUCGUGCCAGCAGCCGCGGUAAUACGAAGGGGGCUAGCGUUGCUCGGAAUCACUGGGCGUAAAGGGCGCGUAGGCGGCCUUGUAAGUUGGUUGUGAAAGCCUGUGGCUCAUCCACCGAACGGACUUCGAUACAGCUUGCCGUGAUUGCCCCACAGGGCUCUGCCUCUGCACGGGAUCCGGAACUGUCAGGCUAGAGUGCAGAGAGGAAGGUUUCAUUCCCGGUGUAGAGGUGCAAUGCUUAAAGAUCGAAAGCAAUACCAAUGGCGAAUACUGCCUUCUGCACUGACACUGACGCUGAGGUGCGAGAGCAUGGUAGCAAACAGGAUUAGAUACCCUGGCAGUCCACGCUAUAAACGAUCUCGACUAGCCUCUGGGAGUCUCG
rnacentral:rRNA from 1 species